rnacentral:rRNA from 1 species
UUAAUUGAAGAGUUUGAUCAUGGCUCAGAUUGAACGCUGGCGGCAGGCCUAACACAUGCAAGUCGAGCGGAAACGAAGAGGUGCUUGCACCUCUGGCGUCGAGCGGCGGACGGGUGAGUAAUGCUUGGGAAUAUGCCUUAUGGUGGGGGACAACAGUUGGAAACGACUGCUAAUACCGCAUGAUGUCUACGGACCAAAGUGGGGGACCUUCGGGCCUCACGCCAUAAGAUUAGCCCAAGUGGGAGUAGCUAGUUGGUGAGGUAAUGGCUCACCAAGGCGACGAGCCCUAGCUGGUUUGAGAGGAUGAUCGGCCCCACGGGGUCUGCGCCACGGCCCCGACUCCUACGG